GUCGAUAAAGCCAAACCACGAGUAAUCGUGGGACGGAAAGCCACGGGUCCCUCUGGGAUAGCCGAGUUGCCGAAG
rnacentral:ncRNA from 1 species